rnacentral:rRNA from 1 species
CGUGCCAGCAGCCGCGGUAAUACGGAGGAUGCAAGCGUUAUCCGGAUUUAUUGGGUUUAAAGGGUGCGUAGGUGGGCUAUUAAGUCAGUGGUGAAAGUUUGUCGCUCAACGAUAAAAUUGCCGUUGAAACUGGUGGUCUUGAGUAUGGAUGAAGUAGGCGGAAUGCGUGGUGUAGCGGUGAAAUGCAUAGAGAUCACGCAGAACUCCGAUUGCGAAGGCAGCUUACUAAGGCAUAACUGACACUGAAGCACGAAAGCGUGGGUAUCAAACAGGAUUAGAUACCCUGGUAGUCCACGCCGUAAACGAUG